rnacentral:rRNA from 1 species
AGGCUGAGCUGUGAUGGGGAGAAGACAUUGUGUCUUCGAGUCGUUGAUUUCACACUGCCGAGAAAAGCCUCUAGAUAGAAAAUAGGUGCCCGUACCGCAAACCGACACAGGUAGUCAAGAUGAGAAUUCUAAGGUGAGCGAGCGAACUCUCGUUAAGGAACUCGGCAAAAUGACCCCGUAACUUCGGGAGAAGGGGUGCUCUUUAGGGUUAACGCCCAGAAGAGCCGCAGUGAAUAGGCCCAAGCGACUGUUUAUCAAAAACACAGGUCUCUGCUAAACCGUAAGGUGAUGUAUAGGGGCUGACGCCUGCCCGGUGCUGGAAGGUUAAGAGGAGUGGUUAGCUUCUGCGAAGCUACGAAUCGAAGCCCCAGUAAACGGCGGCCGUAACUAUAACGGUCCUAAGGUAGCGAAAUUCCUUGUCGGGUAAGUUCCGACCCGCACGAAAGGCGUAACGAUUUGGGCACUGUCUCAACGAGAGACUCGGUGAAAUCAUAGUACCUGUGAAGAUGCAGGUUACCCGCGACAGGACGGAAAGACCCCGUGGAGCUUUACUGUAGCCUGAUAUUGAAAUUCGGCACAGCUUGUACAGGAUAGGUAGGAGCCUUUGAAACGUGAGCGCUAGCUUACGUGGAGGCGCUGGUGGGAUA